ensembl:miRNA
AAAGCUUUUCCACACUCAUUACAUUGAUGGUUUUUGGAGUGACUGUGAAUUCUCUGAUGGUGGGUGAGGAGUAGGGCCUGA